rnacentral:snoRNA from 1 species
CUGGAGGCAGAUACACAAAUUGGGCUGAAAUGCUACUCUAAUUGUCACCAUACUUCCAUAGAAUAAAUUGUUUUUUGAUGACCAAGACAUUGAGUGAAAUUGCAAUGGACAGAUAUGAGGUAAUUUCUU